AGCUUUGCGCAGUGGCAGUAUCGUAGCCAAUGAGGUUUAUCUGAGGCACGAUUAUUGCUAAUUAUUGCUAAUUGGAAAAAGGAGAUGGGAGUGUCCACCCUUCCAGCUUCUCCACUCACGGCCAUGUG
rnacentral:snRNA from 1 species